rnacentral:snoRNA from 1 species
AGCCCCAUUGCUAAGUCAGGGCUUUUUCCUGCACUCGUUGCAACUCUAUGGAAAAGGUCCGUUACAGCUUUGGGAGAUCAAGCUCGCCCGCCGCUUCUGGCCGUCAUGGCUUUGAAGUUGGAUAAUCUCCGUCUUGGAGUCUGUCCGCAAGGGUCUGAGAAUGAUUCGUUUGAGUUGAGGGCCGCCUCCGCGUUCAGUGGUUUCCGUGGCGGUUCUCUUAGUAAUGUUUCAUAUAUUU